UGAACUUAAUAGCAUUUAAUUCACACAGUACUCAGUUAACUCAUCUUUGAAAAUGUUAUAUUUUAAAGUAGUAGCAAUGCUUGUCAUCUCUUCUCCUCCAUAUAAGGAAACCACGUGCUGCAAUUGCUGCGUGCAAAAAGUUGUGCCUACAAACAAACCAGAAAAAUUAGCCAUGGGUCGUGGGGCAAAGAUCUUUGAUGAACCUGAAGCGCAAAUAUAUGUAGGGAACGGAUCAACUACGCCAACAAGGGCAGGGAAGGUUAAAGUUUUAUCAGGUAACAACGGCACCGACACCAUCACCACCACCACGAGUGUACCAUCGAAUAUUCAACAAACGAGUACAAAAGCAACUUCAAAAUUUACGACUAAAGUACCAAACACCACAACAAAGCCUCCUUUGACUGUCCAGACUACAACUAAACUUACCACUACCACGGCUAAAGCAAAACUCUAUACAACUACAAAGACUCCAACUACUACAACAAAGAAGAUUAAGCUGAGAAGGCGGCAUUCAUUAUGGUCAUCACAAAGACUUUUAUAGUCUUUUUACCACUCCUGGUGAUUCACAAUUUUUGUAUUUAAAAAGAGCGCACCAUAAAAAAAAUGAUAAUCGGCGAAAAUAUUUGAAAGGUGUAUACUUUUGGCAGGGUCAACCGAUCUUAACCAUAUUCUAGGACCUUAAAGAUCAUGCCAGGAGGUUUUCAAAAAUAUAUAGUUUUACCCCGUUAUCUCGAAAUUUAUGGGUUUUACGGGACAUUCAAAUUUGGAUUUUGGAAAUUUUCAAUCAACUGUAUCUUGGCUUCCCGUGGUUGUAGAACAAAAUUCUGGAUAUGGUUGAAUUCGUCUUGUUGCCCUCUACAACUUUGCUGCUGAUUGCAAAAUCGUAGGUCAAAGUGCAAGGUCACUUCCGGUGACCUCGUGACCUUUGACCUCAAAAUUGAAGUUUAUCCCCCAAUUUUAUUUUUAUUCUGAAAUAGCCAUUUUGUAGAGCGUAAAAUUUUACGCUAUAUAGGAAAAUAAACCAGAUGGCGUUUUUUGAUAUUAAAUUAAUAAAAAAAUAAAAAGAUUAAAAAACGUGGUUUUCCGAGCAAAUUUCCUGGUAAAAUGUCUUUGAGCCUCUGUAACUUUGUCCCUGAGCAAGAUGGCCCAAAGUACCUAAUGACAAAAAGUAAUUGUCUUGACACGGUCUAUCCAGAAAUGUAUUACACAUUGUGACCAGGUCACAAAAGGUCAUUGACCCCGGUGACCUUUGACCUUACCAUAUUUUUUCCAUCUUGUGCGACACAUGGUUCGAAAGAAGACAUUGAGGCGGUCAUUUUCGUACCCGGAAUUUUGCU